UACAGAGGGGGCAAGCGUUAUUCGGAAUUAUUGGGCGUAAAGGGCGCGUAGGCGGCCUGGCAAGUGGAAGGUGAAAUCCCUCGGCUUAACCGAGGAACUGCCCUCCAAACUGCUUGGCUUGAGUCCGGGAGAGGUGAGUGGAAUUCCCAGUGUAGCGGUGAAAUGCGUAGAUAUUGGGAGGAACACCAGUGGCGAAGGCGGCUCACUGGACCGGAACUGACGCUGAGACGCGAAAGCGUGGGGAGCAAACCGG
rnacentral:rRNA from 1 species